rnacentral:sRNA from 1 species
AAAUUAACCAAUAUGCCUAAUUGUAUAAUUACAGUUAUGUUUGGAAAUGCAAGAAAAAGGCAUGCAUUCCUGAAAAGUCAAUGAUUGGUUGCACCUCUUAAAGAUAACUUUCUGUUAUGAGAAAAGAUGAGAUUCUUGGACUCCUGCAUAGCACCACCAGAAAGGAAAAUCCCAUCAUGUUG